UACGUAGGGUGCAAGCGUUAAUCGGAAUUACUGGGCGUAAAGCGUGCGCAGGCGGCUUUGCAAGUCAGCUGUGAAAUCCCCGGGCUUAACCUGGGAACUGCAUUUGUGACUGCAAGGCUGGAGUGCGGCAGAGGGGGAUGGAAUUCCGCGUGUAGCAGUGAAAUGCGUAGAUAUGCGGAGGAACACCGAUGGCGAAGGCAAUCCCCUGGGCCUGCACUGACGCUCAUGCACGAAAGCGUGGGGAGCAAACAGG
rnacentral:rRNA from 1 species